GGGAAUGUGGCUCAGUUGGGAGAGUGCUUGCCUGGAAUUCAUGAAUCUUGGGUUCCAUCCCCAGCACUAUUU
rnacentral:tRNA from 2 species